rnacentral:rRNA from 1 species
UACGGGGGGGGCAAGCGUUGUUCGGAAUUACUGGGCGUAAAGGGCUCGUAGGCGGCCAACUAAGUCAGACGUGAAAUCCCUCGGCUUAACCGGGGAACUGCGUCUGAUACUGGAUGGCUUGAAUCCGGGAGAGGGAUGCGGAAUUCCAGGUGUAGCGGUGGAAUGCGCAGAUAUCAGGAGGAACACCGGUGGCGAAGGCGGCCCACUGGUCCGGUACUGACGCUGAGGUGCGAAAGCGUGGGGAGCAAACAGG